UUGUAGCCAUUAAUUAUUAGAUUAAGUUGUUAGUAUUAACCAAAUUAAGAUAAUACAUUUACACACGCACACACACACAGAUCUCCAGUUAUAAGGAGGCCGGACACUUCUAAUCACACACAGUGUAUGUAUUGUUCCCGUUGCUUUUGGACAGAUGAUCACAAGCGAGUGUAAAAGACUACGCAGAGAUUCUUACAAAAGCACGGGAACCUAGAACAGUGUUUU